ACUCGAGUGACGAACGGGUGAGUAACACGUGGGUGAUCUGCCCUGCACUUCGGGAUAAGCCUGGGAAACUGGGUCUAAUACCGGAUAGGACGAUGGUUUGGAUGCCAUUGUGGAAAGUUUUUCGGUGUGGGAUGAGCUCGCGGCCUAUCAGCUUGUUGGUGGGGUAAUGGCCUACCAAGGCGUCGACGGGUAGCCGGCCUGAGAGGGUGUACGGCCACAUUGGGACUGAGAUACGGCCCAG
rnacentral:rRNA from 1 species